rnacentral:rRNA from 1 species
AGAGUUUGAUCAUGGCUCAGAACGAACGCUGGCGGCGUGGUUAAGGCAUGCAAGUCGAACGGAGUGUGUGGAAGGUAACGGAAGCGCACUUAGUGGCGAACGGGUGAGUAAUAGGUAGGUAACGUACCCUGGACACAGGUAUAGCGGCGGGACUUCGGUUCCUUUGCGAAAGUGCCGGUAAUACCUGAUGACAUCAGGAGAUCGCAUGUUCUCCUGAUCAAAUGGUCCGCUGGUCUGGGAUCGGCCUACCUCCUAUCAGCUUGUUGGUGGGGUAACGGCCUACCAAGGCAUCGACAGGUACCAGGCGUGAGAGCGUGAUCUGGCACAUCGGGACUGAGACACUGCCCGGACAUCUACGGAUGGCUGCAGCAACGAAUAUUCCGCAAUGGACGAAAGUCUGACGGAGCAACGCCGCGUGUAGGAUGAAGCACUUCGGUGUGUAAACUACUGUCAGGGGUUAGGAAGAAA